GACCAUGUAGCUCAGUUGGAAGAGCAUUGGGCUAGUAUUCCAAAGGUCGUAGGUUCGAAUCCCACCGUUGCCG
rnacentral:tRNA from 1 species